rnacentral:rRNA from 1 species
CUACGUAGGGGGCGAGCGUUGUCCGGAAUGAUUGGGCGUAAAGGGCGCGUAGGCGGCCCGGUAAGUCUGGAGUGAAAGUCCUGUUUUUAAGAUGGGAAUUGCUUUGGAUACUGUCGGGCUUGAGUGCAGGAGAGGUAAGUGGAAUUCCCAGUGUAGCGGUGAAAUGCGUAGAGAUUGGGAGGAACACCAGUGGCGAAGGCGACUUACUGGACUGUAACUGACGCUGAGGCGCGAAAGUGUGGGGAGCAAACAGGAUUAGAUACCCUGGUAGUCCACACUGUAAACGAUGAAUGCUAGGUGUAGGGGGUAUCGACCCCUUCUGUGCCGCAGUCAACACAAUAAGUAUUCCGCCUGGGGAGUACGGCCGCAAGGUUGAAACUCAAAUGAAUUGACGGGG